rnacentral:ncRNA from 1 species
UUAAAGGCACUGACAGGGACACGAAUCAUUUAAAGCUGAUUAAUAGAGAGAGAGGACACCGGCUGAAAUCCUCUUAUGAAGCAAAAUGUAUUUACCACCCUCGAGCCGUAUGAGUGAACACUUUAGUAAUUCGUACCGGAUGCAGCCCGUUAGCUGAACCAGAGAUUCUGGACGUUUGUUCAGAAAGAAGGGUGGAACCGCGGGUUAAUAUAACUCCGUCCCUUUA